rnacentral:rRNA from 1 species
UACGUAGGGUGCAAGCGUUAAUCGGAAUUACUGGGCGUAAAGCGUGCGCAGGCGGUUUUGUAAGUCUGUCGUGAAAUCCCCGGGCUCAACCUGGGAAUUGCGAUGGAGACUGCAAGGCUAGAAUCGUGGCAGAGGGGGGUAGAAUUCCACGUGAUAGCAGUGAAAUGCGUAGAGAUGUGGAGGAACACCGAUGGCGAAGGCAGCCCCCUGGGUCAAGAU